GAUGAACGCUGGCGGCGUGCCUAAUACAUGCAAGUCGAGCGAACAGACGAGGAGCUUGCUCCUCUGACGUUAGCGGCGGACGGGUGAGUAACACGUGGAUAACCUACCUAUAAGACUGGGAUAACUUCGGGAAACCGGAGCUAAUACCGGAUAAUAUAUUGAACCGCAUGGUUCAAUAGUGAAAGACGGUUUUGCUGUCACUUAUAGAUGGAUCCGCGCCGCAUUAGCUAGUUGGUAAGGUAACGGCUUACCAAGGCAACGAUGCGUAGCCGACCUGAGAGGGUGAUCGGCCACACUGGAACUGAGACACGGUCCAGACUCCUACGGGAGGCAGCAGUAGGGAAUCGUCCGCAAUGGGCGAAAGCCUGACGGAGCAACGCCGCGUGAGUGAUGAAGGUCUUCGGAUCGUAAAACUCUGUUAUGAGGGAAGAACAAAUGUGGAAGUAACUAUGCACGUCUUGACGGUACCUAAUCAGAAAGCCACGGCUAACUACGUG
rnacentral:rRNA from 1 species